UACGGAGGAUCCGAGCGUUAUCCGGAUUUAUUGGGUUUAAAGGGUGCGCAGGCGGGAGAUUAAGUCGGCGGUGAAAUUUUGCAGCUCAACUGUAAAAGUGCCUUCGAUACUGGUGGUCUUGAGUGUGGAUGAGGUAGGCGGAAUUUGUGGUGUAGCGGUGAAGUGCAUAGAUAUCACGAGGAACUCCGAUUGCUAAGGCAGCUUACUAAGCCAUAACUGACGCUCAAGCACGAAGGCGUGGGGAGUCAAACAGGAUUAGAUACCCG
rnacentral:rRNA from 1 species